GGGCGCAGCCUGAUCCAGCCAUGCCGCGUGAGUGAAGAAGGCCUUCGGGUUGUAAAGCUCUUUUGGUCGGGAAGAAAUUGCUCGGGUUAAUACCCGGGGUAUUUGACGGUACCGGAAGAAUAAGCACCGGCUAACUACGUGCCAGCAGCCGCGGUAAUACGUAGGGUGCGAGCGUUAAUCGGAAUUACUGGGCGUAAAGCGUGCGCAGGCGGUUUGGUAAGUCUGAUGUGAAAGCCCCGGGCUCAACCUGGGAAUUGCAUUGGAAACUGCCGGGCUGGAGUUGGCAGAGGG
rnacentral:rRNA from 1 species